rnacentral:rRNA from 1 species
AUGCCUCGUUUGAAGCUUCGAAUUUUGCCCGAAGGUUGGAUUUUUGCGCGGCGGCCUAGCGAGGCGUCCAACCCCGAGGACCACUGGCCAUGGCGGCCGCCGUCCAUGUCUACCUCCUCCGUCAGCCUCCUCCUCGAGUGCCCCCUCUCCGUCUGCCGCCUCGUCAACCCGGCCUCUUCUCCUGCCAUGGCGCUCCCCCCUCCCGCCUUCCAGUCUCCGCUCCUCCCUCCCCGUCGGCACCUGCCAACUACCCGGCGACCCCUACUGGCCCCCUCGUCCGACCACCUGCUCGCCGUCAACCAUGAAGCCCGCCCCCUCCGUGGACGUCAUCGACCCAAGCACUGGGAAGCACGGGUGGUCAAGGUGAAGGAGCUCACCGUCGAGCUCGCCGGAGCACUACGCGCUCAAGGCGUCCACAACACCUCCACGUGCUCAAGUUCAGAGCUCACCGGAGCUUCAGAUCCAGAGCUCAAUGCUGCAUUGCUGACUGGCACAUCAGGGGCAAGCAGCAGACCAGAAAAUUACAAAUGA